GAUGAACGCUGGCGGCGUGCCUAAUACAUGCAAGUCUAGCGAACGGACGAGAAGCUUGCUUCUCUGAUGUUAGCGGCGGACGGGUGAGUAACACGUGGAUAACCUACCUAUAAGACUGGGAUAACUUCGGGAAACCGGAGCUAAUACCGGAUAAUAUUUUGAACCGCAUGGUUCUAAAGUGAAAGACGGUCUUGCUGUCACUUAUAGAUGGAUCCGCGCUGCAUUAGCUAGUUGGUAAGGUAACGGCUUACCAAGGCAACGAUGCAUAGCCGACCUGAGAGGGUGAUCGGCCACACUGGAACUGAGACACGGUCCAGACUCCUACGGGAGGCAGCAGUAGGGAAUCUUCCGCAAUGGGCGAAAGCCUGACGGAGCAACGCCGCGUGAGUGAUGAAGGUCUUCGGAUCGUAAAACUCUGUUAUUAGGGAAGAACAUAUGUGUAAGUAACUGUGCACAUCUUGACGGUACCUAAUCAGAAAGCCACGGCUAACUACGUG
rnacentral:rRNA from 1 species